GAGAAGUCAGCUGGUCAAGUCUCCAGUGGCUGGUUUUAUAAUGUAAGGGAUGUCACCUGUUCCAACAGCCAAUAGAGAAGUCGGCUGGUUAAGUUAUAACUAUAGAAAUGAAAUUAUCCAUAAUCAUUUUUCUUAAUUUUACAAACAGCUGGUUGAAAUGGCAGAGUAUUAGACGGAGCUUCAACGACCACCUGAAAGCACGGUACUGUUAUUUGGCCAAGCUUGAUAGAGAGAGAGACUGAAUA